CUACGGGAGGCAGCAGUGGGGAAUAUUGGACAAUGGGGGCAACCCUGAUCCAGCAAUGCCGUGUGUGCGAUGAAGGCCUGCGGGUCGUAAAGCACUUUCGGUAGAGAAGAAAUUCUCAAAAUUAAUACUUUUGAGGACUGACGCUAUCUACAGAAGAAGUACCGGCAAACUCUGUGCCAGCAGCCGCGGUAAUACAGAGGGUGCAAGCGUUAAUCGGAGUUACUGGGCGUAAAGGGCGCGUAGGCUGAUAUUUAAGUCGGUUGUGAAAUCCCUGGGCUUAACCUAGGAAUUGCAUUCGAUACUGAAUGUCUUGAGUAUGAUAGAGGAAAGUGGAAUUCUCGGUGUAGUGGUAGAAUACAUAGAUAUCGAGAAGAACACCGGUGGCGAAGGCGGCUUUCUGGAUCAAUACUGACGCUGAGGCGCGAAAGCGUGGGGAGCAAACAGGAUUAGAUACCCCUGUAGUC
rnacentral:rRNA from 1 species